CCUACGGGAGGCUGCAGUGGGGAAUAUUGCACAAUGGGCGCAAGCCUGAUGCAGCGACACCGCGUGAGCGAUGAAGGCCUUCGGGUCGUAAAGCUCUGUCCUAAGGGAAGAAUAAUGACGGUACCUUAGGAGGAAGCCCCGGCUAACUACGGGCCAGCAGCCGCGGUGAUACGCGGGGGGCGAGCGUUAUCCGGAAUCACUGGGCGUAAAGGGUGCGUAGGCGGCCCUGCAAGUCAGGAGUUAAAUCCCUCGGCUCAACCGGAGUAAGCUCAGGAAACUGUAGGGCUUGAGUGCAGGAGAGGAGAGCGGAAUUCCAAGUGUGGCGGUGAAAUGCGUAGAUAUUAGGAGGAACACCAGUGGCGAAGGCGGCUCUCUGGACUGCAACUGACGCUGAGGCACGAAAGCGUGGGGAGCGAACAGGAUUAGAUACACUGGUAGUC
rnacentral:rRNA from 1 species